GGGGCUGAUUUGGUUUCGACUUCGUACAUUGAGCCAGGGGAAGCGUGCCGGUGCAGGCUGAGGACCACCGCAAGCGUCGCAGCAAACCUAAAAGCGCCGAGAACUCUCAGCGCGACUACGCCCUCGCUGCCUAAUACCAGCGACCGCGUGUCUGUCAGACCGGAUUUGCCUCUGAUCCGGACCCUGGCAUCGACUAAGAGGCUUGCCGUUCAGCCGCGUCAGCGGGGCUGAACGGGACUCCACACCGCUGACUGGGCCCAUCAUCCGGGACGUGUUCGUCCGAGCCGGAGGGCCGAGCAGAGAUCAUGUGCGAACUGCGCACGGAGAAGCCCUGGCGAGGUGACGGAGGACCCGGGUUCAAUUCCCGGCAGCUCCACCA
rnacentral:tmRNA from 1 species